GAUGAACGCUGGCGGCGUGCCUAAUACAUGCAAGUCGAGCGAACGGACGAGAAGCUUGCUUCUCUGAUGUUAGCGGCGGACGGGUGAGUAACACGUGGAUAACCUACCUAUAAGACUGGGAUAACUUCGGGAAACCGGAGCUAAUACCGGAUAAUAUUUUGAACCGCAUGGUUCAGAAGUGAAAGACGGUCUUGCUGUCACUUAUAGAUGGAUCCGCGCUGCAUUAGCUAGUUGGUAAGGUAACGGCUUACCAAGGCAACGAUGCAUAGCCGACCUGAGAGGGUGAUCGGCCACACUGGAACUGAGACACGGUCCAGACUCCUACGGGAGGCAGCAGUAGGGAAUCUUCCGCAAUGGGCGAAAGCCUGACGGAGCAACGCCGCGUGAGUGAUGAAGGUCUUCGGAUCGUAAAACUCUGUUAUUAGGGAAGAACAUAUGUGUAAGUAACUGUGCACAUCUUGACGGUACCUAAUCAGAAAGCCACGGCUAACUACGUGCCAGCAGCCGCGGUAAUACGUAGGUGGCAAGCGUUAUCCGGAAUUAUUGGGCGUAAAGCGCGCGUAGGCGGUUUUUUAGUCUGAUGUGAAAGCCCACGGCUCAUUCGUGGAGGGUCAUUGGAAACUGGAAAACUUGAGUGCAGAAGAGGAAAGUGGAAUUCCAUGUGUAGCGGUGAAAUGCGCAGAGAUAUGGAGGAACACCAGUGGCGAAGGCGACUUUCUGGUCUGUAACUGACGCUGAUGUGCGAAAGCGUGGGGAUCAAACAGGAUUAGAUACCCUGGUAGUCCACGCCGUAAACGAUGAGUGCUAAGUGUUAGGGGGUUUCCGCCCCUUAGUGCUGCAGCUAACGCAUUAAGCACUCCGCCUGGGGAGUACGACCGCAAGGUUGAAACUCAAAGGAAUUGACGGGGACCCGCACAAGCGGUGGAGCAUGUGGUUUAAUUCGAAGCAACGCGAAGAACCUUACCAAAUCUUGACAUCCUUUGACAACUCUAGAGAUAGAGCCUUCCCCUUCGGGGGACAAAGUGACAGGUGGUGCAUGGUUGUCGUCAGCUCGUGUCGUGAGAUGUUGGGUUAAGUCCCGCAACGAGCGCAACCCUUAAGCUUAGUUGCCAUCAUUAAGUUGGGCACUCUAAGUUGACUGCCGGUGACAAACCGGAGGAAGGUGGGGAUGACGUCAAAUCAUCAUGCCCCUUAUGAUUUGGGCUACACACGUGCUACAAUGGACAAUACAAAGGGCAGCGAAACCGCGAGGUCAAGCAAAUCCCAUAAAGUUGUUCUCAGUUCGGAUUGUAGUCUGCAACUCGACUACAUGAAGCUGGAAUCGCUAGUAAUCGUAGAUCAGCAUGCUACGGUGAAUACGUUCCCGGGUCU
rnacentral:rRNA from 1 species